rnacentral:rRNA from 1 species
AACGAACGCUGGCGGCAGGCCUAACACAUGCAAGUCGAGCGAAGCCUUCGGGCUUAGCGGCGGACGGGUGAGUAACGCGUGGGAACGUGCCCUUUGGUACGGAAUAGCCCCGGGAAACUGGGAGUAAUACCGUAUGUGGUCGAGAGACGAAAGAUUUAUCGCCAAAGGAUCGGCCCGCGUUGGAUUAGGUAGUUGGUGGGGUAAUGGCCUACCAAGCCGACGAUCCAUAGCUGGUUUGAGAGGAUGAUCAGCCACACUGGGACUGAGACACGGCCCAGACUCCUACGGGAGGCAGCAGUGGGAAAUCUUAGACAAUGGGGGAAACCCUGAUCUAGCCAUGCCGCGUGAUCGAUGAAGGCCUUAGGGUUGUAAACCCCUUUCAGGAGGGACGAAGGUCACCCGGUUAAUAGCCGGUGUGACUGACGGUACCUCCAGAAGAAGCCCCGGCUAACUA